UCUGGGCCCGGUUUUUCGAAAGGUGGUUAACUCUAACACCGUGUUAACUCUGUGUUAAACUCGGUGUUAAAGUUAACCACAUGGUUAAACGUUUUUCAAAAGUGUGUUAGAGUUUAACCAUGUGUUAACUCUGUGUUAACUUUAAUCCACCCCAAGUACCUUGGUUAAGAUUUAACACAGUGAUUAAAUAUGGCCGCCAGUGUAAUUAUUUUGCCACUUCAACUCAAAAAUUGGUAUAAUAAGCAUUUGUCAGAAAUUUUAAAGUUUAAAAAAUCUUACAUAUGAUUAAGAUACGGAAAGGCAACUGGCUUGACAUGAAAAGUUGCAGUAUCUGUGUGAUAUAAUUAUGGAAGAAGGAUUUUGCACAUGGUUCAUACCCCCUAUGUUGAAGGAUCCCUUCAUUGGAGGAGGCUGCAUUGUUGACAGCAGUAAAAGAUUUGGAAGAAGGAGAACAUGGAAUGUUCUGCUGGGUGACACUUGCUGUGCUUGAUACCUAAUUCUCCCAAUGCCAUAUCUCAUGAGGCCCACAAACUGCAGCCAAGGAGAAAUUUAUUCAAACAUGCAUACCAAGAUCAGAAGUGAAAUUGAGAGGUUCUUUUGUUUGCAUAAGAUUUGCAUGAUACAGGAAUUAACUGCCUGCGUUGUUAAUUGAAGAGGACUUGGAGAGACUGCGAAAGAUGCAUGAGUAUUUGACUACAACCAACCUCUAAGCCUCAAACACCAUGCACCAAGAGAAGGAGAACAAUUAUUGUGACAUUUAAUCUAAUGUCUACAUCCUAAUUUAUAAUUAUAAUACACAAUAGCCAAAAAAAAUUGAAUUCUCUCUCUCUCUCUCUCUCUCUCUCUCUCUCUCUCUCUUAACAUGUCCAACAUGUUUUUAUUAUGAAAUUGUUUAAAGUACCAUAAACUGGAAAUUAUAAUUAUUAAAGUAUGUAAAACAAUGCGAAUGUAAACCUUUGCACUCUCUCUCUCUCUCUCUCUCUCUCAUGUAAAAGAGUAUGUUGAUUACUUUAUAUUUGUACUUUUAUAAUAUAAUAGAGAUUUUCAUCCAAAUAUGAAAUACCGAAUAAAUAAACAUUAAGUAUACACAGAAUGUUACAUAUAGAUGACUCGGUUUUUGUUUAUCACAGCUUUUAGGUGUUGUAAAUGUUAUAUUGUUGUGUUUUUAAUGACAAAUUGUUGUCUUUAAUUAUCCAUGAUAGAUUAAAUAUUUAAUACAUUUAUUUUGUAUGUUUUUGUCUAUAAUGUCCUUGUAUAAAAAUAUGCAUUUAAUACUAGUAAGCCUCUUACCCUUUUAUUUAAGGCAUAUUUUUCUUUCAAAUUAAGUUUACAUGAAGACAAAUGCAGUUAUCAUUGAAUACAAAAUGUAAAAAAAAAAAAUCCAAGUUUUUAGCUCCUUCCUGUCCAAAGGUGAAAUUUUACACAUAUUUACAUAUAUAUAUAGUUGAAAAAUCACCCAUUCCUUCCAAUUGUCUCAAUUUAAAUUGCAUGUAGGAUAUGAAAAUGUACAUUUUACAUAAAUUAAAAUAACAUCUGCUAUAAUAACUACUUUUGAAAUGAACAAGAAGCAACCAUAUUUUAAUCUUUGUAUUGUAUUUAAUAUGCAUUUAAUAGAAAAACAUGUAAAAUUUGAACAUUUUUCUUGGAUUUCUUAUCUGUCUCCAGCUACCCGGGUGUGUUUGAAUUUUAUUUUAAUAAAAUUAAGGCAAACAUCACAGUAGUAGCUAGGUCUUAUUUA